GCCUACGGGAGGCAGCAGUGAGGAAUAUUGGGCAAUGGGCGAGAGCCUGAACCAGCCAAGUCGCGUGAGGGAGUACUGCCCUAUGGGUUGUAAACCUCUUUUGUCGGGGAGCAAAAGCCGGACGUGUCCGUCUGUGAGAGUACCCGAAGAAAAAGCAUCGGCUAACUCCGUGCCAGCAGCCGCGGUAAUACGGAGGAUCCGAGCGUUAUCCGGAUUCAUUGGGUUUAAAGGGUGCGUAGGUUGUUUUAUAAGUUAGCGGUGAAAUACCGAUGCUCAACAUCGGGGCUGCCGCUAAUACUGUAGGA
rnacentral:rRNA from 1 species